GCAGUGGUGGUUCAAUGGUAGAAUUCUUGCCUUCCAUGCAAGAGACCCACCUUUGAUUCUGGCAAAUACA
rnacentral:tRNA from 1 species